UUCUAAAAUCCAUAAAAAUUAACCUGCUGUGUUCAUUUCAUUUGUGUAUGUCAUUUUCCCCACCCUUCCAAUUCAUAGUUCUGUUGGAAAAUGCAGGACCUGGUACCCGCUCUGCUUUUCCCGCCGUCUCCAAUUCGUUCCGACGAUGAUCACGUGAUCACCUCGGGUCAUUCCGGGUAACAACAAUAGAUCGAUGCCAUCCUGGGGCAGUGAAUGGAUGGUUUGGUUGCCGGCUCAGCAAACAAUUACCGUAUUUUCUGGAAAAAUCUAUUCAUCGAAUUUAUCGAUCUCAACAAGUGACAGACAAAUAUGUAGCGACGCCACUCGAGCGAAGCGUGCCUCAGCAGUCGAUAGUCCGCUGCUCUCUGCUGUGUGUGCGUCAGCUAAGAUUAGCUGUUGUCUCGGCUAGGCUAGCUUUUUGUUGUCGUAGAUCAAAGUGUAUUUGAUUCGUGACAUCGGUUGCGUCGGUGCUGAUUGGUUGAAACCAAAAGACGUGCACGUGCGUACAUGUUCGCGCGGACGCACACACAGCAGAGAGCAGCGGACUUCGACUGCUGAGGCACGCUUCGCUCGAGUGGCAUCGCUACAAAUAUUCCGGGACAAUGCUAUUUUCAAGUGGCGUGGGUGGAGAAGCCGGAGUUCCAUGAUUGGGUUGGAAAAAUUGCUGGCGAUUAUACGUCGGCCUACUGCCGAGUGUGCAAGAAGGGUAUCUCCGUGAGAGGUAAAACUUGUCAUAGCCUCCUGGUCAAAUCAAAUGCAUUGAAGCACACAGCAAAACAGAAGAAAAUUGAUUGCCAAGAACUUGCAAAAGAGAUUGAGGAGAAAACGAAGUCACU